GGACACGGGACUGUCUUUUAUGAAGGUGGGCCUGAUCAGCCUUCCGCCGUUCGCCAGAGCGGCGACGGCCAUGCUGGCUUGCAGUGGCGUGACGGCGAUCCCGU
rnacentral:sRNA from 1 species